rnacentral:lncRNA from 10 species
AGACUGCUGUGCUAGCAAUCAGCGAGACUCCGUGGGCGUAGGACCCUCCGAGCCAGGCAUCAGCUAUCAAAACUUAUGGGAAAUGGAAUUGAAGACAACUACUUCUAGAAUUGGUGCAUGGAAGCUUCUCAUAGGUGAUUAGCCACACUCUUCUUCUGUCAACCUGGUGCAGAAAAGCUUGAAGACCUUGGAAAUCACAUAUUGAUGAUGGAGGAGAUACAAGAAUGAAGGACCCUGGGUUCCUGAAUCAACACUCUAAGAAGAGACUCCUUGAAAUCAAGAGCACUCAUUUUGACAUUGCAAACGGAAAAAUUCACUUCUAUCAGGGGACUGAUCGGAGUCAAACCAUAUGCUGUGGCUUUUGCUCCAUGGAAAUCUCAACUAUACUGCAAGAAUAAUUAUUCCUACUUAAUGAAGUUACAGAAGAGAAUGUGGUGCUGGACGGUACUGACUGCAUGGGGAGAGGCCAUACCACAGAAACCUCAAUCUGCCUGAGCCGUGACUCUGAGAGCUGGAGUACCACUGGACAAGACCAUUUAUUUAAUAAGAAGAAUGUUC